rnacentral:rRNA from 1 species
UGGGGAAUUUUGGACAAUGGGGGAAACCCUGAUCCAGCCAUCCCGCGUGUGCGAUGAAGGCCUUCGGGUUGUAAAGCACUUUUGGCAGGAAAGAAACGUCGCGGGUUAAUACCCCGCGGAACUGACGGUACCUGCAGAAUAAGCACCGGCUAACUACGUGCCAGCAGCCGCGGUAAUACGUAGGGUGCAAGCGUUAAUCGGAAUUACUGGGCGUAAAGCGUGCGCAGGCGGUUCGGAAAGAAAGAUGUGAAAUCCCAGAGCUUAACUUUGGAACUGCAUUUUUAACUACCGGGCUAGAGUGUGUCAGAGGGAGGUGGAAUUCCGCGUGUAGCAGUGAAAUGCGUAGAUAUGCGGAGGAACACCGAUGGCGAAGGCAGCCUCCUGGGAUAACACUGACGCUCAUGCACGAAAGCGUGGGGAGCAAACAGGAUUAGAUACCCUGGUAGUCCACGCCCUAAACGAUGUCAACUAGCUGUUGGGGUCUUCGGACCUUGGUAGCGCAGCUAACGCGUAAGUUGACCGCCUGGGGAGUACGGUCGCAAGAUUAAAACUCAAAUG